UGCACACUCUGUUUACACAUCCACUCACACCUGUGCACCCUCCAUAGUUCUGCAGCCUGGGGGCUCUGUCCCCUGCCGUGGUUCUAUGUAUUUACACACACACUGUAGUAAAGUCUCAUGGAAUGCAUACCGCGUUUAACGCAAUAUAACACAACUUUCAGCAACGGAUCUCUUGGCUCUCGCAUCGAUGAAGAACGCAGCGAAAUGCGAUAAGUAAUGUGAAUUGCAGAAUUCAGUGAAUCAUCGAAUCUUUGAACGCACCUUGCGCCCUUUGGCUAUUCCGAAGGGCAUGCCUGUUUGAGUAUCAUGAACACCUCAACUCUCAUGGCUUUGCCAUGAUGAGCUUGGACUUUGGGGGUCUUGCUGGCCUGUGGUCGGCUCCUCUCAAAUGAAUUAGCUUACCAGUGUUUGGUGGCAUCACAAGUGUGAUAACUAUCUACGCUUGUGGUUUUCCACCAGGUAACCUUCAGUGAUGAAGGUUCGCUGGGGCUCAUAAAUGUCUCUCCUCAGCGGGGACAGCUCUUUGAACGUUUGAUCUCAAAUCAGGUAGGACUACCCGCUGAACUUAAGCAUAUCAAUAAGCGGAGGA
rnacentral:rRNA from 1 species